ACUACUAUCACCAGUUUUUUUGUUGUUCACUUUGCUACUAUAUAACAUUAAAAAUAUUUUUACAGUUGCCUAAAGUGCUCCUUUGGCUGAGCACAUAUACCUCUUUCUUUCAUUGGCUCCACCUGAUCUCUUCCACUAUAAUGUAACAAGGUAGAUUUAUCUUCCUUUUCCAAAAUUAAAUUUAUAUUCACCAUUGAGAAUUGUACGAAAUUAUGUCAAGAAUACAUGCAAGUUGAAAUGGAAUGAAGCCAAGUCACAUGCAGAAUAGAUACAGACCUUACAGAAGGCCGACUUGUUU